CGGGAUGGAGCAGUCUGGUAGCUCGUCGGGCUCAUAACCCGAAGGUCGUUGGUUCAAAUCCAGCUCCAG
rnacentral:tRNA from 1 species